rnacentral:RNase_P_RNA from 23 species
CAAGUAAGUCGGGUAGUCGCGAGGACAGUAAACUGUCUUCGAGGAAAGUCCGAGCUCCGUAGGGCAGGGUGCUGGGUAACACCCAGUGGGGGCGACCCCCAGGAAAGUGCCACAGAAACAAACCGCCAGGCUUCAAUCUGGUAAGGGUGAAAAGGUGCGGUAAGAGCGCACCAGCGGCCAGGUGACUGGUCGGCUAGGUAAACCCCACCCGGAGCAAGACCAAAUAGGGAAGGGAUGAAGUGGCCCGCUGACCUUCCGGGUUUGGUCGCUUGAGGUGUCAGGCGACUGGCACCCUAGAUAGAUGACUGCCACUCCCUCUAGGGGGAGGACAGAACUCGGCUUACAGACUUGCUUGUAAA